rnacentral:rRNA from 1 species
CGUCAAAUCAUCAUGCCCCUUAUGUCUUGGGCUACACACGUGCUACAAUGGCCGGUACAAAGGGUGGCGAACCCGCGAGGGGGAGCGAAUCUCAGAAAGCCGGUCUCAGUUCGGAUUGCGGGCUGCAACCCGCCCGCAUGAAGCCGGAGUUGCUAGUAAUCGCGAAUCAGCAUGUCGCGGUGAAUGCGUUCCCGGGCCUU